rnacentral:snoRNA from 1 species
UCCGAGACUAGAGAUACAGCCUGACAGCUGUCUUCCUGGUGCAGAGUUCUCAGAGAGAAGCUGCUGGUCUUGAUUCACUGCUGAGGGUGGUGAGUGCACCCGCCCCCUAAUGUCCAGGUCAGAUACGUAC